rnacentral:lncRNA from 1 species
AUUGACAGGCUUCCGAUUAAUCGUCCCAUCGAUUAACAGUUUAAGAUUUAUACGCAGUUCGAUUAGUCGAUUAAUCGGCUGAAAUUAGUCGAUUAAUCGGAAAUUUUAGGUUAUAUCAAUUAUUCAAUUAUCAAGGCGGGAAUUGCAUCCACAUAAAGCAUGGAAAGGAAAUGAUAAUUGUUAUCACAGGAAGAAGCAACCUCGUCUUUUGACUUUACUUUUCUUCUUUAAAAAUUGUUUGACAACCAAUUCUCUCCUUCCUUUUAAUUGCCAUUCAGUUCAGUUGCUAUACGUUUGAUACAUUAUGGCAUCAGAAGAAGCAAUUACUCAAGCAUUUGAUGAAGCCAUUGACUGGGUUCUUAAAUCUUCAGAUUUGGUUUCAGAAUAUUUCGAAGGAGAUGAAAAAAAUCAGAUUCUUUCUGAGCUGGGAAAAACGGUGGAAGAACUUUGUGCCACAGAUAAGCAAUUCAAAGUCAGUUGUAAAUGUCUUUCCAAACUGGAAGAAACCGAGGGUCAUUGUACAUAUGAUGAGCUGAAAACAGCAUUAAAAGAAUCACUUGAGAAAAAUAGAGAAAAAGGCAAACUAGACUUCAAGAAACAUGAACGACACAUAGAAUGGAAGGAAAAACUGAAUGCAGCCGUAACAGAGAAUGCUGGUAAGUUUCAGAAGCAGUUCGAUACCAUCUCAUGUGAAAAAGUCGUUCCGGAAUGA